rnacentral:rRNA from 1 species
AUACGGAGGAUCCGAGCGUUAUCCGGAUUUAUUGGGUUUAAAGGGAGCGUAGGCGGGAGAUCAAGUCAGCUGUGAAAUGUAGAUGCUCAACAUCUGCACUGCAGUUGAAACUGGUUUUCUUGAGUGCGUAAGGGGCAGGCGGAAUUCGUCGUGUAGCGGGGAAAUGCUUAGAUAUGUCGAAGAACUCCGAUCGCGAAGGCAGCCUGCCGGGCCGCGACUGACGCUGAAGCUCGAAGGUGCGGGUAUCGAACAGGAUUAGAUACCCUGGUAGUCCGCACAGUAAACGAUGGAUACUCGCUGUCGGCGAUAUACGGUCGGUGGCCAAGCGAAAGCGUUAAGUAUCCCACCUGGGGAGUACGCCGGCAACGGUGAAACUCAAAUGAAUUGACGGGG